rfam:Ailuropoda melanoleuca scaffold1851_19, whole genome shotgun sequence.
GGGGAUGUAGCUCAGUGGUAGAGCGCAUGCUUAGCAUGCAUGAGGUCCUGGGUUCGAUCCCCAGCAUCUCCA